CCUACGGGUGGCUGCAGUGGGGAAUAUUGCACAAUGGGCGCAAGCCUGAUGCAGCCAUGCCGCGUGUGUGAAGAAGGCCUUCGGGUUGUAAAGCACUUUCAGCGGGGAGGAAGGCGGUGAGGUUAAUAACCUCAUCGAUUGACAUUACCCGCAGAAGAAGCACCGGCUAACUCCGUGCCAGCAGCCGCGGUAAUACGGAGGGUGCAAGCGUUAAUCGGAAUUACUGGGCGUAAAGCGCACGCAGGCGGUCCGUCAAGUCGGAUGUGAAAUCCCCGGGCUCAACCUGGGAACUGCAUUCGAAACUGGCAGGCUAGAGUCUUGUAGAGGGGGGUAGAAUUCCAGGUGUAGCGGUGAAAUGCGUAGAGAUCUGGAGGAAUACCGGUGGCGAAGGCGGCCCCCUGGACAAAGACUGACGCUCAGGUGCGAAAGCGUGGGGAGCAAACAGGAUUAGAUACCCGGGUAGUC
rnacentral:rRNA from 1 species